GAGUCUUUAAGUCUGUGGCUAAAGCAGCAUGAUAAUAGAAAGAAGUUUUCAUGAGAUUCACGAUUGGACUCAAGCUAAUUAAGUCUUGCAUAUGACAGAUGCUUAGGGUUUGAUGAGUUUUCAUGACCUGUGUCCUGUUGUGACUCUCGAUAGAAGAACUGAAUCAUACGUUAACUAUACCUAGAGGUUCUAUCUUCAGUUCUAUUAGAUUGUUACUACAUAUUGUUAGAUGUCAUUGAUGGA
rnacentral:lncRNA from 1 species